GGGUGAUUAGCUCAGCUGGGAGAGCACCUCCCUUACAAGAGUUGGUAGAGCAGUUGACUUUUAAUCAAUUGGUCGCAGGUUCGAAUCCUGCACGACCCACCA
rnacentral:tRNA from 1 species